rnacentral:sRNA from 1 species
GAAAGGCUCGCAAGGGCUGAGUAGAGUGGCGCACGGGUGAGUAACACGUGGAUAACCUGCCCAGGAGUGGGGGAUAACGAUUCGAAAGGUUCGCUAAGACCGCAUGGGCUCGCGUUCCCGCAAGGGGGCAAGAGUAAAGCCGAAAGGCGCUGGAGGAGGGGCCUGCGGCCCAUCAGGUAGUUGGUGUGGUAAAAGCGCACCAAGCCGAUGACGGGUAGCUGUUCUGAGAGGAAGACCAGCCACACUGGCACUGAAACACGGGACAGACUCCUACGGGAGGCAGCAGUGGGGGUUUCUAGAAGUCUCCUACAAAUUUCAG